rnacentral:lncRNA from 1 species
AAAGGUUUCACUGAAACUUUCUGCUGGCUGUUGCAGAAAUGUUGUCAACAAGGUGAAUGACCUGAUCAAGGACAUUACAGAGGAGCACGACCUGACUCAAGACAUGUCAGACACGCUCCACACAUCUGUGAGCUUUGGAGUGGAAUUUGAUGAGGAUGAGCUGCUGGCAGAGCUGGAGUGGCUGGAGAAGAAUUUGGAUGAGAGUCUCUUUGAGAAGAACAGAAUGGAGCAGAGAGUCCUCUGUCCCAAAGUGUUGUCCACUGCAUCACCUUCCCAAACUGCCAAGACGGAGGAAGAUGACAUUGAAGAUGAUUUAGAGUAUCUGAGGCACUGGGCGAGCGUAUCCUCAUAGACACACCAUCAGCCAAAAAAACACGGUCAUUAAGAGGAAAAGUUGAAAUAAAUAAGCAGAAAUGUUACGUUGUUGUUCAUCAGUGUUUUAUGUUUAUGGGAAAGCAUUAAAUGUAAUGCCCCAGCUAUUACAGAAACUAAAUAAUUGAUAUUGUAGUAAAGUACUAUGGGCUCUGUAAUACAGUAUUAUUAUACACUACACUACACAUGGUGGAUCGCUUCUUGUCAGUUUGUGGGUUAAGUGAAGACAAAAUGUAAAACGUUCAUCAACAUAUUUCAUAUACAAGGAAUGUUUUGGUGUAUUGGUGCAUAGCAUAAACAUAGUAAGAGAAAAUAAAAAUUUAAAAAGCAAGUAUCAAGAGACAUAAAUUGAGUUGAAGAAAAUGACAAUGAAAAAUAUUUUUUG